rnacentral:rRNA from 1 species
ACUCCUACGGGAGGCAGCAGUAGGGAAUCUUCCACAAUGGGCGCAAGCCUGAUGGAGCAACACCGCGUGAGUGAAGAAGGGUUUCGGCUCGUAAAGCUCUGUUGUUAAGGAAGAACACGUAUGAGAGUAACUGUUCAUACGUUGACGGUAUUUAACCAGAAAGUCACGGCUAACUACGUGCCAGCAGCCGCGGUAAUACGUAGGUGGCAAGCGUUAUCCGGAUUUAUUGGGGCGUAAAGAGAGUGCAGGCGGUUUUCUAAGUCUGAUGUGAAAGCCUUCGGCUUAACCGGAGAAGUGCAUCGGAAACUGGAUAACUUGAGUGCAGAAGAGGGUAGUGGAACUCCAUGUGUAGCGGUGGAAUGCGUAGAUAUAUGGAAGAACACCAGUGGCGAAGGCGGCUACCUGGUCUGCAACUGACGCCGAGACUCGAAAGCAUGGGUAGCGAACAGGAUUAGAUACCCUGGUAGGAUAGCG